AUGACUUAGCAACUAAACAACAAUAACAACAUCCCAGAAAAAUAUAAAUCCAGGAACUGGAAAGAAACAGUUGACAAAAUGAAGAAAACAAGCAAACCCUUCAAAUGAAGAACUCAACCUUUCUCACAUAAGAACACUUAAGUGAGAGUCAAAUAAGUGACACAGAAAGCCUCUUUAGCCUCAGAGCCAGCAGUUGAGUGGAAGUGGGAAGCAGCUAAUGAUGUGAGUUGCUCAAGCCAAAGAAAUGCAUUUCCUGUGAAAUACCUGGAUAAUUGGCUCAUUUCCCUGAAUGUUAUAUAAAGCACAGGUCUGACCCAAAAAACAGAUACUGAGAAACAAAGAAGAAAGGAAGAUUCUUUCUUGGUUUCUAAUUGCAGGAAGGAAAGAAUCCUUCCCUGUGUGUGUUCCGUUCAUGUGGUGACAUGUGCUGGAUUUUAAAGGGUUGGCACUUUCAUGCAUCAUCAGAGAAAACAGAAGAGCAAUGUCACUGAUGGUCGUUAGGAUGGAUGCCACAAGAAGUGCUUCGAAGAACUCUCUUUAUCAGGAAAUAAAACGGUUUUCCCCUCUCUGAAAACACUGGGGGUGUCAACAGAGGAAACUGAACUGGAAUUCAGGAGUGCCUGGGACCCAGCGUGUCUCUAGACUGGUGUGGCCGUGAGCAAGUCUGUCACUGUCUCUGGGCUUCAGUCAGGCAUCUCUGCAGCUGACAGAACUGGAUGCGAUGGAGGUUUUCAGCUUUGCCCCUGUCCAUGGCGGUCCCAGGUGACUGCUGCCGCAGGACUGCGAAUCAGGUGACUCAGACCCCACUCACCAUCAGCCACAGGGAGGUGCCUGGUCCACGAGUCCACCACAGCUGGGGAACAGCAGCCCCAUGUGGCCCAAGGCAGCCCGGGGAGACUCUCAGAACUCGAACUACUGAGAAAGAGCGGUCCCCCUUCCCAUGGACCACUGGGUACCAAGUUGCAUGGGACUGCAGGAGUGGUAUCUGAGGAUGAAGCCACCAUCAAAGAAAGCAGGAGGCAGACGAAAGGGACAGGAUGCCAGCUGUUCUCAUUUGCGCACCUGCCUCCAGCUAUGCCUAAAGUUAGUCCUGUGCCUGGACUUUCUGUUAGGAGCUCCUGUCAUUUGUAAACAGUAUCAUCGUGACAAAUACAGAGGCCCUUGGGGGUGGGGUGGAACAAGAUGGGGAGGCAGGUGGGGAAAGGGGAGAAGAGAGGGGCAGAGACUGAGAAGAGAGAAGGGCUGCAAGCUCAGGGAGACAUUCUCCUGUGAUCUGACUUACAUAUUGGGUUUACAUAUAAGAUGCGAUGUUCAAAAAGAAUUAGCUAGAAGUGAAAACAAAAACUACUAGAAGAGAAGAUUCAAGGGAACUUGUGGUUUGCCUUCCUGUUUUACUGAAGAUAAGGCAAGCAGAAUUGCCCAGAAAUGUUUCUAAUUAGGGUAUGAAAAGAAGCAGAAA